GUAUGUGCAUGUUAGUAUUAAUGUGUGUGAGUAUAUGUACAUGUGUGCUCAUAUGUAUUUGCAUGUAUGUGCAUGUUUUCAUAUGUACACAUGGUAUGUAC
rnacentral:miRNA from 1 species